GCGAUGUUUCAUUCAAAUUUCUGCCCUAUCAACUUUCGACGGUAGGGUAGUGGCCUACCGUGGUGGUAACGGGUGACGGAGGAUUAGGGUUCGAUUCCGGAGAGGGAGCCUGAGAAACGGCUACCACAUCCAAGGAAGGCAGCAGGCGCGCAAAUUACCCAAAUCCCAACUCGGGGAGGUAGUGACAAGAAAUAACGAUGCUCCGGCCUCACGGUCGGGUAAUCGGAAUGAGAACAAUUUAAAUCCCUUAUCGAGGAUCAAUUGGAGGGCAAGUCUGGUGCCAGCAGCCGCGGUAAUUCCAGCUCCAAUAGCGUAUAUUUAAGUUGCUGCGGUUAAAAAGCUCGUAGUCGGAUUUCGGGUGGCGCCUACCGGUCCGCCUUUGGUGAGUACUGGUAGGUGCCACCUUUCUGCCGAGGACGGGGUACUGGGCUUAACUGUCUGGGCCCCGGAGUCGGCGAUGUCACUUUGAGUAAAUUAGGGUGUUCAAAGCAGGCUUAUGCUCUGUAUACACUAGCAUGGGAUGACACGAUAGGACUUCGGUUUAUCUUGUCGGUCUGUAGAUCGGAGUAAUGAUUAAGAGGGACAGUCGGGGGCAUUCGUAUUUCGUAGUCAGAGGUGAAAUUCUUGGAUUUACGGAAGACGAACUUCUGCGAAAGCAUUUGCCAAGGAUGUUUUCAUUGAUCAAGAACGAAAGUCGGGGGCUCGAAGACGAUUAGAUACCGUCGUAGUCUCGACCAUAAACGAUGCCAC
rnacentral:rRNA from 1 species